rnacentral:rRNA from 1 species
AUUGAACGCUGGCGGCAUGCCUUACACAUGCAAGUCGAACGGCAGCACGGGGGCAACCCUGGUGGCGAGUGGCGAACGGGUGAGUAAUACAUCGGAACGUGCCCAGUAGUGGGGGAUAGCUCGGCGAAAGCCGGAUUAAUACCGCAUACGACCUACGGGUGAAAGCGGGGGAUCGCAAGACCUCGCGCUAUUGGAGCGGCCGAUGUCAGAUUAGGUUGUUGGUGGGGUAAAGGCCACCAAGCCGACGAUCUGUAGCUGGUCUGAGAGGACGACCAGCCACACUGGGACUGAGACACGGCCCAGACUCCUACGGGAGGCAGCAGUGGGGGAAUUUUGGACAAUGGGCGCAAGCCUGAUCCAGCCAUGCCG